rnacentral:lncRNA from 1 species
CUCUCCUCUUUCACUUUCAUCAAAAGGCUUUUUAGUUCCUCUUCACUUUGUAGGAAGUGUUUUAUCUCUAAUGCUUGUUUGGGUCCCAGAAGACUCAGAACUACUAUUUCCUAGGUCUGAACCCAGAGAGUCAAGGGCAGUUCUUAGGCCCAAAUCAGCAGCUCCUUUUUUCAUGUUCUUCUGCAGACCCGGGUGCUAUCCAGAGCCUACUUUGCUUUGAGUCAGACUUAAGAGGAUGCAAGCUUCCUUUUACCUGCUUGAGGAUGAUCGACAGAAAAGGGGAGGAGAUGGGAGAAUGCCAGGAUUCUGAAGUCUAGAGAAGAUGAUUACAGUCUUUCAGAAGAUGAGAUUAGCAAGUCUCUGGACCUGUGAUAUAUAAUCACACAGUAGCAGCUACUUGUUUUCGACCAGAGGUGGAACGGUUGCAGUGCUUAUUAGGAACAUAGUCACCUAGGCUUUAUGAAUGAAAGUCAGCAGCCUUUCACAGCUAGACAAAUAAAGCCAGCUUGGGACAACCAGACAAUGUCUCCUCUAUAUUUAUGCCUCUAGAUCACACUGUUAGCCCCCCAGGUCUUCCAGAGAAUAAACAGAUAACUGAAUUGCUUCCUUUGAUGACCCAUUUGUCUGCCCAAGGACAGCCUUCUGGCUGGCUGCCAGCUGAUCAGCAUUUUACCCAAAGCAUUAAAUCAAAAGUAGCUCAGAUUUUGUUUGUUGUUUGUUUGUUUUUGGUUUAUUUUUGUCUCCUGUCAUUCUCUCUCAUAUUUAAGUCAUUUAUUUUGUUGUUAGAGGAAAUUAAUUUAUUAUUGUUUUCCCUCAUGCAUAAUUAAAUGGUAUGCUAAUAACUUUAGUGUGUGACCUGCGAGUUAUUCUUUGACUCUUCUUCUGAAGGCUCCACUGUGAUAACGCCCACCACAGAAAUGUGUAGAUUAAGGUGCACCUGGAUCUUGUCUGGAUGGGGGCCCCUUGGGUCCGUGGCUCAUCUUCUCUUGGCUCCUGUGAUAAGGCUAGUGUGGAGUGUGGAGACUGGGCUCUCUGGCUCUCACACGCUAAAAUGAUUCCUGGUCUCAUCCAUUUCUGCUUCUGGUUCUUGGCUCUGGUUGAACAGAGUGAGUUGAAUUUACCCUCGUGGCAACAAUGGUGGCAUCUGAAUUUCAAUUCUCCGACCUAACGUAAGUGAUUUCUGUCAGUGGCAGUUGAUAAGAAUCAGUAAUCUAAUGUCCAUGACCCUUCUUUGGUUGUAUGCCUGAGGAUUCUGAUUGUUCCUGGCACUUGAGUGCAAAGUUGAAAAGCUUUUGGUGUUUUUCUUCCUACUAGUAAUGUUCUCUCUGUGUAUGUGUUCUGAUUUGUGUCAAUUUGGCUUCCUCUGACGCUCAUGCUCAGAGCCUUUUUCCUUCUUUCAAAAUUCUGAUAAUUUUUCAUGUACAUUUAUUAUGAUCCUNNNNNNNNNNAUAUCUGCUAAGUUAAAAUUCUUGCACCAAACAUUAAAAGGAAGCUAAAGACCUAGGAUUCAACCAUCUAUUUUGGUUAUUCUUAACAGUUGAAUAAUGCCCAAAUUACUUUGUUCGCGAUUUAUAAAAUAAGGCUGAAAAGAGGAGAUUAUUGCUAUUGCUUUUUUUAAAAAAAGAAAAGAAAAAAAAGUAUGGACACUAGAAAAAAGAGAAAGACUUUUGGUAAAUUCAGAGAGAAAAAUCAGAAAUUUACACAUAUUUUUCAACACGGUAUUUCCCAAGAGGAACAAAUGGUGAUUAAUUACAUGUUUUUAUUCUUCAACUGAUCAAUAUACUUAAUAAAUAUUAGUACCUAUUCCAGGCAAAAGAGACAUGGCAACCAAGUGCAACUCAUGAUUCUGAACUGGGUUUUUUCCUAAGAGAAAGUGUGAAAGUGUUAGUCGCUCAGUUUUGUCCAACUCUUAGUAACCCCAUGGAUUGUGG